rnacentral:rRNA from 1 species
UUGGAUAAGUGCUGAAAGCAUCUAAGUACGAAGCCAGCCACAAGAUUAGAUUUCUUAGGGUCGUCAAAGACGAUGACGUUGAUAGGAUGCAGGUGUACAGGUGGUAACAUCAUAGCCGAGCAUUACUAAUUGCCCGUCCACUUUCUUUC